AAUGAUGGAGGUGCAGGCAUUUCCUGAGGAUUAAUGACCAGCUGGGAGGAACCAGUGGCCCUUGGCUCUGCCUCCCAGCCAGCCAUUAAUUCCAAGGAAAUGUCUUUUGCUGAGGUCGUU
ensembl:miRNA